rnacentral:rRNA from 1 species
AUCAUACAAAGUGACCCCGGUCUACCCACCGGGAUGUUCAUAACCCUUUGUUGUCCGACUCUGUUGCCUCCGGGGCGACCCUGCCUUCGGGCGGGGGCUCCGGGUGGACACUUCAAACUCUUGCGUAACUUUGCAGUCUGAGUAAACUUAAUUAAUAAAUUAAAACUUUUAACAACGGAUCUCUUGGUUCUGGCAUCGAUGAAGAACGCAGCGAAAUGCGAUAAGUAAUGUGAAUUGCAGAGUUCAGUGAAUCAUCGAAUCUUUGAACGCACAUUGCGCCCCUUGGUAUUCCGGGGGGCAUGCCUGUUCGAGCGUCAUUAUCACCCCUCAAGCUCAGCUUGGUGUUGGGGCCUGCCCGUCACAGGGCAGCCCUUAAAAGCAGUGGCGGUGCCAUCUGGCUCUAAGCGUAGUAAUACUCCUCGCUAUAGACGUCUGGUGGUGUCCUGCCAAAACCCCCCAUAUUUUUAAUGAUUGACCUCGGAUCAGGUAGGGAUACCCGCUGAACUUAAGCAUAUCAAUAAGCGGAGGA